CUCAUUGAUCGAGACAGGUGUCUGUCAUCAUGACAUGCAGCACUUUGGGGUGGACCCACCUGUCUCAAUCAAUUAGAGAAGAUUACAAAAAGACAAGAUGGCAGCAUACACGUUGUUGACUUGCUUCAUGUAGGGAAAAACAUUUAAUUUAAUAACGAGGCAUUUUCUAAAUUCAAACUGACCCCUGCAACUGGACACGGACAUUUUGAGACUCUAGUUUCCACAAAUUGAGGACAAAGAUAGUAUCGCCAAUACCAACCAGCUUAGUUGAAAAAUCUCUGCUGACAUUUUGAAUAGGCAAGCAUGUAACUCCCAGUAUAAUGGUUACUCCAAAAAAUGGUUAAAUCACAUUAUCUGGUGUUACAAUCUGUAGCUAGCUGGUGAUGAAACAAAUAUGAACUGGCAGCUGGAUACAACCCAGACCUGCCAAGACCAUCUACUGAACAAACUUGGGGAACCAAGGGACGAGAUCACAGACUGAAGACUGCAGAGACUCAAUGCCACUCUUCAGUGCUACUCUUCAGUGCUACUGUUCUCCACCCGCUCAUCAUUAGGGAGACAUCAGGGGAUGGAGAGAUGGACAGGAAAGCAGAUGUCUCAUGGUCUGACAAACACCGCUCCAGCUCGGGCUCCUUUCACCACAGAUGUCUC